rnacentral:miRNA from 10 species
CCACCGGGCGCGGCUGCGGAACGUCUCAGCAGCAUCCCAGGAGCGGCUCGCCGUGCCGCAGCGC